rnacentral:lncRNA from 1 species
CACCGACCCUCGAGUGUACGCAGCCCAGUGUCCGUCUGUGUCUUGUCGUGGGCGUGACGUUCAGCAGCGGCAGGAACAGCAACGGGAAGCUUGAUCUGCGUGGGUCUUCGUGCGGCGAGGUGACGUGCCGCUGCUGUGAGGUUAUCGGACCACACCACAGCACAGCACAGCACAGAGGAGGAGAGGCGUUGACGAUCCAAAGGCCUGACUCCACAGCGGUAAUGAGCCUCGUCUACCUUGCACUUUGACGGACAACGCUCACUACCAACACUUCUAGAAGCCUCCGCCGUAAGAUUGCAUCGCGCACACGGUCUACUCUUAACGACCGCCACCGCCGCUGCCGCCGUUGAGGGAGACUGGCUGGAUGAGUGGGUGAUAGAGGCGAGGCAGGUGUGGUGAGGCGGAGGAUUGGAGACGAGAACCUACAGAUGACGGCAGACACGGAAGAUUCCACUAACCAGGAGUUGGUGAUCCGAAGCCGUGACUGCAGCGAUCCCGUGCGUCCUGCACCAUCAAGGGAAGGACUCUCUGGCUUCGCACUGCGCCUACAUUGACCGUUGCCGCCGCCGCUGCUACCGCUACUCGGAGGGGCACUGCCUCGCAUUGGGCCUUCACUGCCGUCCCGCUAAUACACGUGUCGCCGUCGCAGCUACUGGCACUGAGGGACUUCGCCUCGCAGCGGCCUGGCAAACACCUGCUACACCACCACCACUAACUCCACCACCGCAGUCCAGAGAUUCAGCUUCGCAUAGCAGACAUCCUCCUAUUCAACGCUUGCUGCCACUACCACCUCAUUAUGGUGGUGUCACUGUACUUGGAUCUGUUGUCACUACUGAAUAAUAAUGUGUAAA